CCUGGUGCCAUGGUGUGUGCCUGUAGUUCCAGCUACUCAGCAGGGUAGGGUGACGCUGGAGGAUCACUUGAGCCCAGGAGUCCUGGGCUGUCAUGUGCUAUGCUGAUUGGGUUCCUGCACUAAUUUCAGCAUCAAUAUGGUGACCUCCCAGUAGCGGGGAACCACGAGGUUGCCUAAGUAGGGGUGAACCUGCCCAGGUUGAAAAUUGAGCAGGUCAAAACUCCUAUGCUGAUCAGUGCUGGGAUCGUGCCUGUAAAUAGCCACUGCACUGCAGUCUGGGCAACACAGUGAGACCUCAUUUCGA
rfam:Pan troglodytes isolate Yerkes chimp pedigree #C0471 (Clint) chromosome 7, whole genome shotgun sequence.